UACGUAGGAGGCAAGCGUUGUCCGGAAUCACGUGGGCGUAAAGCGCGUGUAGGUGGUGCGACAAGUCUGCUGUGAAAGCGCCUGGCUUAACCGGGCGAGGUCGGCGGAAACUGACGUACUGGAGGCCGGUAGAGGGGGGUGGAAUUCCCGGUGUAGUGGUGAAAUUCGUAGAUAUCAAGCGGAACACCGGUGGCGAAGGCGGCCUUCUGGACAGUGACUGACGCUGAGACGCGAAAGCGUGGGGAGCAAACAGG
rnacentral:rRNA from 1 species